rnacentral:rRNA from 1 species
UGGGGAAUAUUGCACAAUGGGCGAAAGCCUGAUGCAGCAACGCCGCGUGAGCGAUGAAGGCCUUUGGGUCGUAAAGCUCUGUCCUUGGGGACGAAAAAAAUGACGGUACCCUUGGAGGAAGCCCCGGCUAACUACGUGCCAGCAGCCGCGGUAAUACGUAGGGGGCGAGCGUUAUCCGGAAUUAUUGGGCGUAAAGAGUACGUAGGUGGUUUUUUAAGCGCAGGGUUUAAGGCAAUGGCUCAACUGUUGUUCGCCCUGUGAACUGGGAGACUUGAGUACAGGAGAGGAAAGCGGAAUUCCUAGUGUAGCGGUGAAAUGCGUAGAUAUUAGGAGGAACACCAGUGGCGAAGGCGGCUUUCUGGACUGUAACUGACACUGAGGUACGAAAGCGUGGGGAGCAAACA